rnacentral:rRNA from 1 species
UGGGGAAUAUUGGACAAUGGGCGCAAGCCUGAUCCAGCAAUGCCGCGUGUGUGAAGAAGGCCUGCGGGUUGUAAAGCACUUUUAUCGGGAAAGAAAAGCUUAGGGCUAAUACCUCUAAGCCUUGACGGUACCCGAUGAAUAAGCACCGGCUAACUCCGUG